rnacentral:rRNA from 1 species
UGGCGAACGGGUGAGUAAUACGUGAGUAACCUACCUUUAACUCUGGGAUAAGCCCGGGAAACUGGGUCUAAUACCGGAUACGACCAAUCUCCGCAUGGGGUGUUGGUGGAAAGCGUUAUGUAGUGGUUAUAGAUGGGCUCACGGCCUAUCAGCUUGUUGGUGAGGUAACGGCUCAUCAAGGCGACGACGGGUAGCCGGCCUGAGAGGGUGACCGGCCACACUGGGACUGAGACACGGCCCAG